AUGUGAUCAUCAUUGAACAAAGAAUAAUAUAACUCGCUCUCUCUUUCCAUUCUACUCACGAGGCAACGUUGAUGAAGAAAGAUUGAUACACUCAGAGACACUUGCGUCUCCAAAAUAUAAAAAAAUUUCUUUAAAAAGUAUAUAAUUCAUCGUUUAUGUAAUGGGUAUAUUCUAAGCAUAGCAAGGAUUGAAACAUGCAAAUCGCAUAAAGAUAAGUAAGCAAUUUUAUCUUUAUCAUAAUACGAGUAUAUAUAAUAAUUUCAGAAUACAGCCUUAUUCGAUUGUU